AUUGAACGCUGGCGGCAGGCUUAACACAUGCAAGUCGAGCGGAGAUGAGGUGCUUGCACCUUAUCUUAGCGGCGGACGGGUGAGUAAUGCUUAGGAAUCUGCCUAUUAGUGGGGGACAACAUUCCGAAAGGAAUGCUAAUACCGCAUACGCCCUACGGGGGAAAGCAGGGGAUCUUCGGACCUUGCGCUAAUAGAUGAGCCUAAGUCGGAUUAGCUAGUUGGUGGGGUAAAGGCCGACCAAGGCGACGAUCUGUAGCGGGUCUGAGAGGAUGAGCCGCCACACUGGGACUGAGAAACGGCCCAGACUCCUACGGGAGGCAGCAGUGGGGAAUAUUGGACAAUGGGCGGAAGCCUGAUCCAGCCAUGCCGCGUGUGUGAAGAAGGCCUUUUGGUUGUAAAGCACUUUAAGCGAGGAGGAGGCUACCUGGAUUAAUACUCUAGGAUAGUGGACGUUACUCGCAGAAUAAGCACCGGCUAACUCUGUGCCAGCAGCCGCAGUAAUAC
rnacentral:rRNA from 1 species